AUGGCAACUUCAACAGCAACGUUUGUACCGUGUAAAGCUAGCUAGUUGUCUAUGAAACGCUAACGUAAUGUAUCAAACGAAUAAUGGUUUUUAGAAUAUGUUUUAAGAAAGCAAACAGGCAAAAUUUUAAGAAAUGUAAUUCUGCAUUUAACAUACCGGUAGAAGUUAUGUAUUAAUAUCUUGUGGGAUGAGGGUAAGUUGUCUAGCUAACGCGAACGUUAGUAACGCGUCGCUAGCAAGGCACGUCCGUUUACAAACGUGUAUAGCCAGCUGUUCGACUUUGAUAGCUAGCUAGUUACUAAAAUGAUACGAUGUGUGAAAUCGCUGAAGUUACGUUACUAGCUUGGGUUCCUUUCUUUGCUAGCUAGCUAAAGUUAACAAGAUUGUAUGCCAGCCAUGGCCAAUCCUGACUUAACUAACGCGUUAGCUACUGUAGCUAGUUAGAUAUUUAGCUUGGUACCGUUAACGUUACUUCUUCUCUGCUGGUUUCAUCCACCAAACAGCCGACAGAAAUGGGAGCCCCUUAAACGCGCCAGGAGCAAGAAGGAGAUAGAGUGGAAAUUAUAAUGGUGUUGCCUGUGUGGGGCCUCACACUCCCUCUUCCGGCUGUACUGAUGAUUGUUGUUGGUCUUUACAUGAUUUUCCUUGCAAUGGCGCUAUGGUUCCGCCAGUGCCUCAAGGAACAGUGUUCUCCUGGGUGUGGUGACUGCUGUCCAAAUAUCGCCCCAUUCGAUUACUGUUUAGCAUGUGCAGAGUCGUGCAACUGUCGUAUGCCAUCACUGCGCUCGUGCCUUGACCAGACCUGCCCCUCAACCUGCCCCUCUCUUCCUAAUUGUAACAUGUGGGACUGUGCUUGCACCUGCCAACCCCCAGAAUGUGAGUCCUUCAACUGCCUCUGCUUCGAGAUCAAGUUCAGAUAGAGGGAGAAAUGGAGGAGUGGUAGGAUGAAUGAUGAAUCCUAACUCAAGACGCACAGCAUGUUUGCAUAUUCACACAUUGAUGUUAAUGGACAAUUUGUGCAAGAGGAAGGAGUUAUCCAUUCAUCCCUAGAGAAAUGGAAAGGGAAGACGGGGGGUGGAUUGCUGUGUUUAUGUACCAAUAUGAAAAUACAAUCUGAAUCCUUCUAACACACAGCCUUAAAGUGAAAGGCUACAACCAGUUUAUGGAUAGUUGUGCCAUAUGUGUCCAAGGGAGAGCAACAUUAUCAUAGUGCUAUUAUAAUAUAGGGCAUCUACUUUCAUUACAGCACAAGUACAAUUCUGUGCCUCUGCAGCAAUCCAAUACAUUCAUUGUACAAAACAUUAAGCUCACCUGCCUAAUAUCGAGUUGCACCCCCCUCCUCCCCUUUUGCCCUCAGAAAAACCUAAAUUCGUCAGGGCAUGGUCUCUAUAUGGUGUCAAAAUCGUUCCACAGGGAUGCUGGCCCAUGUUGACUCCAAUGCUUCCCACAGAUUGUGUCAAGUUGGCUGGAUGUCCUUUGGGUGGUGGACCAUUCUUGAUACACACGGAAAACUGUUGAGCGUGAAAACCCCAGCAGCGUUAGACUUCUUGACACAAACUGGUGCGCCUAGCAUCUACUACCAUACCCCGUUCAAAGGUACUUCAAUCUUUCGUCUUGCCCAUUUACCCUCUGAAUGGCACACACAAUUAACGUCUCAAGGCUUAAAAAUCCUUCUUCAACCUGUCUCCUCCCCUUGAUCUACACUGAUUGAAGUGGAUUUAACAAGUGACAUCAAUAAGUGAUCAUAGCUUUCACCUGGAUUCACCUGGUCAGUUUAUGUCAUGGAAAGAGCAGGUGUCCUUAAUGUUUUGUACACUUGUAGCUGAUGUAAUACUUCCAUGAUGGUUUUAACUAUUCCUUAAUCAGUUAUUUUUAUCACAUUUACACUCAAGUUUUUACACAUUACAUAUGUAUAUACUGUAGCUUUGACGCUGUGGACUUGUACUUUUUAAGCUAUUGACCCAUGUCAAUUAAAGAUGACUAUUUUUAAACUUA